rnacentral:rRNA from 1 species
GACGAACGCUGGCGGCGUGCUUAACACAUGCAAGUCGAACGGAAAGGCCCUGCUUUUGUGUGGUUCUCGAGUGGCGAACGGGUGAGUAACACGUGAGUAACCUGCCCUUGACUUUGUGAUAACUUCAGGAAACUGGGUCUAAUACCGGAUAGGAUCUUCUGCUGCACGGUGGGGGUUGGAAAGUUUCGGCGGUUGGGGAUGGACUCGCGGCUUAUCAGCUUGUUGGUGGGGUAGUGGCUUACCAAGGCUUUGACGGGUAGCCGGCCUGGGAGGGUGACCGGCCACAUGGGGACUGAGAUACGGCCCAGACGCCUACGGGAGGCAGCGGUGGGGAAUAUUGCACAAUGGGGGGAAGCCUGAGGCAGCAACGCCGCGUGCGGGAUGACGGCCUUCGGGUGGUAAACCGAUUUCGCCUGUGACGAAGCGUGAGUGACGGUAAUGGGUAAAGAAGCACCGGCUAACUACGUG